UACGUAGGGUCCGAGCGUUGUCCGGAAUUAUUGGGCGUAAAGAGCUCGUAGGCGGUUUGUCGCGUCUGCUGUGAAAUCCCGAGGCUCAACCUCCAGCCUGCAGUGGGUACGGGCAGACUAGAGUGCGGUAGGGGAGAUUGGAAUUCCUGGUGUAGCGGUGGAAUGCGCAGAUAUCAGGAGGAACACCGAUGGCGAAGGCAGAUCUCUGGGCCGUAACUGACGCUGAGGAGCGAAAGCAUGGGGAGCGAACAGG
rnacentral:rRNA from 1 species